rnacentral:rRNA from 1 species
GAUGAACGCUGGCGGCGUGCCUAAUACAUGCAAGUCGAACGCUGGAAAUCUAGCUUGCUAGAUUGAAGGAGUGGCGAACGGGUGAGUAAUACAUAAGCAACCUACCCACGAAGACUGGGAUAAUCUCUGGAAACGGGGACUAAUACCGGAUAGGUAAUCGGAAGGCAUCUUCUGAUUAUUAAAGGUUAAAAACACUGGUGGAUGGGCUUAUGGCGCAUUAGUUAGUUGGUGAGGUAACGGCCCACCAAGACGAUGAUGCGUAGCCGGCCUGAGAGGGUGAACGGCCACAUUGGGACUGAGACACGGCCCAGACUCCUACGGGAGGCAGCAGUAGGGAAUUUUCGGCAAUGGGGGAAACCCUGACCGAGCAACGCCGCGUGAGUGAGGACGGCCUUCGGGUUGUAAAGCUCUGUUGUAAGGGAAGAACGGUAGAUAGAGAAUAUCUAAAUGACGGUACCUUAACAGAAAGCCACGGCUAACUACGUG